rnacentral:piRNA from 1 species
GAAAAAAGAAGCAACGGAAUUUGGUCUCUGA